AGCAGUUGCAUUAAUUCGAAAAUUAAUAGCUGUACUAGAAUCAAUUGAACGCCUACCUCUCCAUUUGUAUGACACACCAGGAUCCACGUAUAACCUCCAGGUGAGUGUGAGAAACAGAGCUGUCACAGCCAAGAGUGUAAGAGCAGCGAUAGGCUUUACUUUUAUGGAACAAGGCUUUCCUGUUGGAUUAAGAACAAUUUUCAUUUUAAUCUUUAAGAUUCUACUUUAAAUGCCACUUGAUUUCUUAGGAAGGAUUUAUGAAUGUUCUGGCUUCAUUUAAACACAUCACAUGUAUGCAGAACCAGAGGAGGCAAGAAGAUGGUGCCACAUUUCCCGGAACCAGGAUCAUAGGUGGUUGUGGGCUGUCAUGUGGGUGAUGGGAAUUGGAACAAAUGCUCUUAGCUAUUGAACCAUCUCUAGCCCAUUCUAUUUUUUAAAUUGACUUUUAAAAUGGCACUGUAUGUGUUAUUUCAAAUCUGUCUUGUAUGGUAUUAUGUGAUAUAAUUAUAUUACAUUUAAUAAACAUUGUAAGUAAGAUAUAUUUUAUAGACUAUUUUUUAAGUUGAAAAUCAAGUUAAAAGAUUGAAAAUUAUAAGUUUGGUUUGGUCUUAGUUCAGUUGCACUGUCAUAAGAAAAGACAGACACCAGAUACAGUUUUGGAACCUGAGCAUUUGUAUAUAGCAGCAUCAGCAGAUUUGGUGUCUAGUUUAUGGCUUCCUCACACCAUGUGUUCACGAACAAGCUCUAGUAGGUUUUUAUCUUUUGUUGUUGUUGUUUGUUCUUGUUGAGACAAGGUUUCUCACUCUAUGGUCUUGGCUAGCCUGGAGCUGAAAGAGUUCACUUGCCUCUUUGCUCUCUAAUACUGGGAAUAGAGCCGUGAGCCACCAUGUUCCCCCUCUUUCUGACUUCUAACUAGUUCCUGAGGGCUGUACCGCUGCAUUAAUCACCUGCCAGAGUUCUGCCUAACACAUUUACACUCUGCUUUCUCUCCGCUCUCUUCUCUGGAGAUCUGUGCUGAGACAGAGAAAAGGAAAAGUGAGUGUAAGUUCCACUCUCUGUGACGUGACGGAGGCUUUGGGUUUGUCUCGUGCUGCCAGCGAUUCUUCAGCCUCACUGUUCAGCUGGGAAUGAGCCUCACUUCUCCCAGUGGGUGCAAAUUACAUGUUUUCAUUGGUUCUUAGUUUCUCUGUGUAGCCUUGGCUAUCCUGGAACUCACUUUGUAGGCAAAGCUGGCCUUGAAACUCGUAGAUCCACCUACCUCUGCCUCGAGUGCUAGUAUUAAAGAUGUGUGCCUCCUCCCCUGCCUAGCCUCCAAUUAAACUCUUUAAAACAUCGUAUUAGAUUUUUUUUUUACACUUCAUACAUUAUUUCAUUUAAUUUUGAUCAAAUGUGUCUUCUUUACCUCCCCUUACAACUCCUUCCUCCGUCUCCCCGAUUUCAUAUCAUAUAUAGAUAUAGAUAUAAAACCUCCUGAGAAGAGUAGGUUUAUCUACAUGCAUGUGCUAUAGAGCUGUCCACUAUAACGUGGGCAGACUACCAGCAGCCCUGCCCUUGAGAGUCUGGAGUUUCCCAGCUAGGCGUGGGGCCUUGUGAGCUUGCACUCCAUGCUGCAGGGUUAACUAGAUUGAUCUCGUGCAGACGUUAUGGAGCCAACCACAGUUGUUGACAGUUCAUGAGUAUAACUGCUGCCAUGUCCAGGCACAUCUUUUACUAGUUCUUCCUGACCGCUGGCUUUUACAUACUCUUUUCUACCUCUGCUCCUCGGUGUUUACUGAGCCUUGGCUGGGAGUGAAAAUUGAUGUCCCAUUUGAGGACUUUGAUCACUUGUGGUUCUUUGUAUUAACCUCUGACCACUGCAAAAAUAAGUUCCUUUGAUGAAGGAUGAGAGCUUGAUGGAGCCUCCUGAGUGCUUUGAACUCUUGAUCCUCCUGUCUUCAUCGUCAGAUGCUUGCUUUAUAGAUGUGUCACCAUGCUCAGCCUCCUUUUAGCUUUCUGUAUCGUUAGUUAGAGCUUUCAGAAACCUUUUGUUCUUAUUAAUCAUAGCCUGGUUUUACACAUAUAUACCUAGAGAUACGAUAUAUCCCAAUCAUUCAUUCCAUUCUUUUGCUAGUACCAAGAUCUAAAUAUGGCAAAACAACAAAACAAAAACCCCAAAACAACCACAAAACCACAUUUCACUGCUGAUAUCCCAGCCUCGAUCUAUACCAUAUACUCUGUGAAUCUAUUCCACAUACUCUGUGGAUUUAUACCCCAUACUCUGUGGAUCUAUACCCUAUACUCUAUGAAUCUAUAACACAUACAUGUGGAUUAAGUUAGUAUUGCCUAGAAGGCCCUGCUUUAGUAAGUUGUGCCUUUAUUUAACUUAUUCUAUAUGAAAUUGUUACAGUGUGUAGAAUAGUUUCUUUUAAAUUUAGCAUUUAAUAAUCAGCUAAGUAUUUACUUUGCCAAAGCAGUGUCUACUCAGUGCAGUGAAGUUUUUGUAACUGCCUAAUCUUACUUGUUACAUAGGAAGAUCCUAUUUCAAAAAGCAAAGCAAAACAAACAAACAAAAAAAGGAAACCAAACCCAACCAACC
rnacentral:lncRNA from 1 species